rnacentral:rRNA from 1 species
UACAGAGGUCUCAAGCGUUGUUCGGAUUCAUUGGGCGUAAAGGGUGCGUAGGCGGGCGCGGUAAGUCGGAUGUGAAAUCUCGGAGCUUAACUCCGAAACUGCAUUCGAUACUGCCGUGCUUGAGGACUGGAGAGGAGACUGGAAUUUACGGUGUAGCGGUGAAAUGCGUAGAUAUCGUAAGGAAGACCAGUGGCGAAGGCGGGUUGCUGG